GCAAUACCAUGAGAGCGGCGCACGGGUGAGUAACGCGUACACGACCUACCUCUAACAGGGGGAUAGCCCUGGGAAACUGGGAUUAAUACCGCAUAUAAUUYUGAUAUWUAAAAGUUYRRAAUGAAAGUUCAGGCGGUUAGAGAUGGGUGUGCGUCUGAUUAGCUAGUUGGUAAGGUAACGGCUUACCAAGGCGAUGAUCAGUAGGGGGCGUGAGAGCGUGRUCCCCCACACGGGUACUGAGACACGGACCCGACUCCUACGGGAGGCAGCAGUAAGGAAUAUUGGUCAAUGGGCGCAAGCCUGAACCAGCCAUCCAGCGUGCAGGAAGAAGGCCCUACGGGUUGUAAACUGCUUUUGUCAGGGAAGAAACCUUUGGAUUUACUCCGAAGCUGACGGUACCUGAAGAAUAAGCACCGGCUAACUCCGUGCCAGCAGCCGCGGUAAUACGGAGGGUGCGAGCGUUAUCCGGAAUUACUGGGUUUAAAGGGUGCGUAGGCGGCUAUGUAAGUCAGGAGUGAAAGUUUGCGGCUCAACCGUAAAAUUGCUUUUGAUACUGCAUGGCUAGAAUCAGGAUGAGGUUAGCGGAAUGUGGCAUGUAGCGGUGAAAUGCAUAGAUAUGCCAUAGAACACCAAUUGCGAAGGCAGCUGGCUAGACCUGCAUUGACGCUGAGGCACGAAAGCGUGGGGAGCGAA
rnacentral:rRNA from 1 species